rnacentral:lncRNA from 1 species
CAGUGAGAUGUUGAUAUCAGGUAGUGUUGGAGUCAGUGAGAUGUUGAUAUCAGGUAGUGUAGGAGUCAGUGAGAUGUUGAUAUCAGGUAUUGUUGGAGUCAGUGGGAUGUUGAUAUCAGGUAGUGUAGGAGACAGUGGGAUGUUGAUGUUGAUAUCAGGUAGUGUAGGAGUCAGUGGGAUACCAUGUUGAUAUCAGGUAGUGUAGGAGUCAGUGGGAUGUUGAUAUCAGGUAGUGUAGGAGUGAGUGGGAUGUUGAUAUCAGGUGAUAUAGGAGUCAGUGAGAUGUUGAUAUCAGGUAGUGUUGGAGACAGUGGGAUGUUGAUGUUGAUAUCAGGUAGUGUAUGAGUCAGUGAGAUGUUGAUAUCAGGUAGUGUUGGAGUCAGUGAGAUGUUGAUAUCAGGUACUGAAGGAGUCAGUGGGAUGUUGAUAUCAGGUAGUGUAAGAGUCAGUGGGAUGUUGAUAUCAGGUAGUGCAGGAGUCAGUGAGAUGUUGAUGUCAGGUAGUGUAGGAGUCAGUGAGAUGUUGAUAUCAG